UUUCACUGCUGCUGCUUAUGAAGAGUGGGAUGAAUUUCUAGCCACCAAGCCCUUCUGAGUGUGUUUCCAUAUUUGUGAAAUGAUCACUCCAAAUCCCUACUCAACAGCCCAAUGAUGGAGAUAACAGAAGGCCGAAUGAGUCUCCAAGGAGAUUCCACAUGAGUCGUGCUGAGGGAGCGGGUGGACUUCUUCACGAUGUGGUAUUCCUGAACACCAGCACACGGUGAGGCUCAGAGCAUAAGAUGUGGCAAGAAGGAGAAGAACAUCAAGAAACUCCAAAUCAUCCAGGGCUCAGGAGGUCCUCAAGUGAGGUGUGUUUCUCCCCUAGGCACUGAAACACAUUAACCGAAUGCAACUAUGCGCUGUCAAAGGUAAUUCUAUCAUUGGCCUGAACCAUAGCACAACAGCUGGAAUGCAAACAAAGGGGACGCUGCUGUUUAUCUUCACAUAAGAUUCUGACUCUGCAUCACCAUUACCUUCACUGGCAGCCUCAGAAAACAGACAUCUCAAGGGUUUUAGUACUUUAAAGGCUUCCUGAAGCUCAUCAAGAAAGUUAUGCUCUGAUAUAUGGUGCACAAGAUAGUCAUGUUAUGCUGCUCCCCUCUGUAUUUAUUGCCAUCAUUUUGUCCAUGGUUGAAGAAAUUUUUUGUCUCAUUCUUCUUUUUUUGUUUUUUUGAGACAGAGUCUUGCUAUGUUUAGGCUGGUCUCGCAUUCACUGUGAUCCUCCUGCCUCAUCCUCCCAGGUAUUAUAGGUGUGCGUCACCAUACCUGCCUUCAGUUUCAUUUUUGAACUGCUACUGUCCUUUAGUCUUAGUAUAUUCCACUUUACGUUUCAAUGUGUGUACACAGAUUCAGACCCCAAGGGACAUGGAGGCUUAAAUUAAGAAAAUAGGAGUGGCAUUAAUAAGAGGAAAGUGUAGAAAGGGGAAGAGCUGAAAGGCAUCUUUGGAAAACUGGACUGGAGUGCAUAAAGACAGGAAGCAAUUGACCUGAAGUGAUCAGGUUGCCGUAUGACUUCUACAGUAUUAUUUUCAUGAAAGAAAUUAAUUCGAGGGCAGAGAAACUGUUAUGUACUACAGAAGUACAUAUUUCAUUUUCACAAAAAUUUGAAGGAAUUUUUCAAAUCCAAAAGGGAAACGAAAGUUGAUUGCCUAUGGACAGGUUUCUUUAACUGGAUUUCCAAAGGCUCCCUGCUAUGAUGUCAGCCUUUGUAGACUGGGAAGCCAUCGAUGGCUCCCAACACAGAUUCAUAAAUUAUAAAUCUACACUCUUUGGCUAAUGUCCUCCUGCACUAUAUAACACAAAGCAAUCUAAAAACAAGGUAAAUCUGUACAAGUUCUAGUAUCUUCUUCCCAUACUCCCAGGGACCACCUGACUUCCCCUCUGGGUGUGCCCGCUCCACGUGGGAGACCCCUGCACUAUGAGGCUCUGAGUGGAAUAAAAUAUUUGCUUUUCUAUGCACAUCACACAAGUUAUCUGCUUCCUUGGGAACUGCAAACUGCAUGGAUGAAAAUGUAGCACAGCGCCGGGUAGCAAGUUGGAACAGGUCCCUGAAAAUGUGCCACAGGAAUAAGCCUAAUUCAAACAUCAGCAGUUUUCCAGGCAAUUCAUUCUGGCCAAAUAAUUAUCUUUCUCUCAUGCAUUUAACUAAUCACUUCAUCUCUUUAAGUAUGAAACUAAGCCAAAUCAAACCACCCCCAAAUUUAAAUCUUAUUUUCUUAGACCAGCAAUAACCGCAGUCUUUUCUUCCUUAUCUCGCUCUGGCAGUUCUGCAUAUUGCACUGAGUUUCAUGCAGCUUCUCUGUCUGUCCUGCACAGACCAAGGAGCUGCUAAGGCACAGUGCAGUGGACUGAGACCUACCUGUAGUUCACAUUGCAGGGCACCGUGGAGCAAAAUGUACAACCUGGGAAGCUGUGGAUCAGCCUGGUGCUGGGAAUAAUGGUUUCUGCAUCCAUAGCACCAGUCUCUGUAUCAAGCUGCAGGGGCUGCCUCGAAAGGCGAGCACCCCACGUUCCAGCAUGUCCUGCCCUGAAGGAUCUGUCUUCCAAACCUCCCAUGAGCACCACGAACCCUUUGUCCUCAUUUGCUAGCUCCCCAAACUGCAGAAAAGAAGGAGGCAGUGGGGUAACUAACCUCCCUUUAUCUCAAAGCCAUGCACACAGAGACCUCAGGGCUUCACCCAGCCCCUACCAGGAAGCUGCUAGGGGCCCUGCCACUUUGAUGUUUUACAAUCUGAGUGAGCAUCAGAGUCACAUGCUCUGACAACACAGCCUCCCGGGCCUUGUCCCACACAGACCUGCCAGGUAGGCCUCUCCAGACGCACUGGAGAUGGGACAUCAGCUUGAGCCCUGGCUUCCUGCCAUGCACCAGACAGAGGGAGCAAGCACCGCACACAUUUACACAUGUGUGAGCACACUGAUGCCCUUUGCAGUUUUUGUAAACUCUUUUCUCAGUGCCUCCACCUUUUCUCCCUGGCUCUUGGCUGCUUUCCCUCAUAAUUCCCUGGAGCUGUACAGUGACUCUUCUAGGGAAACAAGUUUGUUAUCAGCAGAGCUCAGCGGUCUUCUCUCCCAUCAGGAAUUGCUAGUGGAUAAAGUGCUACGUUUAGACCAGCUAGUCCCUAAAGUUGCUUGGAGCUGAGAAGCCUUAUGGUCCUAUUUACCAGAAUCCACAUCCUCGAUUCUUGUAGCUCAGGGAUCUUUUCCUUGGUGCCUUUUUUGUCAAGUCUUUUUGCCUGUGCUCCACUUGGUACUUUGCCAGCUCCCACUGAGGUCUUUAAUCCUGUGUUAUUGCUUUUAUAUUGGCUUGCUUUACCCUUAACCCAAAAAAAUCUACUUAUUUAUUAAAGAGGUGCUACCAUAAGCAUCCUAUUUUAAGGGAUGGUAUGUACUGUGUUUUCUCACUGUUAGAGUUGGAAAAAUAAUCUUUAUCCCAUUGAUAUCCUUGAAAUUCCCAGAAUGGAAAAGCAGAUAGGUUUUCUAGUUUCAGGACACAAACAAUAAGCACCUAUAAUGUACCAUUGCCCAUUUCAAACUCGAGACAUGCGGGGACAAUGACAGUAAUGGAAACCGAUCAAACUUCAUCAUGACAGGAAAGCAGGGGACACUCCGGGAAAGUAAGAGAGUAUGUCUGCCAUCCACCUGUCCGCUCACCUGUCCACCAUCCCUCCAUCUCAUACACACAUGGCAUGUGCAGUGAGUGUCCAGGAUAGAUGUAUGAGCCACUUGGAUGAUCUCUGCUCCCCUGCAUCCUUCACUAAAGAAGAUGCUCUUAAGUACACCAUCACAUGAGUGAGUAACUGUUAAAAUCUGUGUUAAGGGCCACGGAGGACAAUACAGGGAAGGGCAUAGCUCAUGCUGGGCAUGCAAGAGAUUCCUUGGAAGAAAACUCUGAAGUUAGACAAGUAAAAGUGAAUGCCCAGAAAGAAGAGUGGAAUGGGCGUCUCAAGCAGAGCCUGCCAUAGCCCUCGAUUUGGACGGAUUCUGAGGAGCACAGCACGGCCUAUUGCUGCCCUUUGAAGCAGCCUACCUUAACACUAUCCUCGAGGCUGUAGGGAAAGGACAUUCACUCCUUAAAAAAAGCUCAGAGAGCCCUGUGCCAGUGUUUUUCUCUGUGAAGGUCUGAUUUCCAGUCAGACAGUGAGUAUGCCUUCCUAUUUUAAUACUAAUUAGAUUUUUAAGGUACCUGGUGUCCAUUGUUUUUUGUAUAAGGUUCUAAGUUUCAUUCAGUAGAAAAAUCCAGCAUGGGCUGAAAGAAGAAAUUAUUUCCCAUGGAGGAGUAGCUUUAAUCAACCAGAAAUGAUAGUUUCGGAUGCUGUGAUAAAACUCCUCAGUGUACAGACACUUCUGGAAAUGUUAGAGUGGCUAUUUUCUCAGUUAUUCAACCCAAAUAAAAUGUAAGAGUCUCUCUCUUUUUCUUCUAUAGGAUUAACAUCUUUCCUUGAGAAUACUGUCAGGUCCCUAUCCCCACAUUUGUUCCAGCAACAAAGAAUCAAACACCUGCGUCAGACUUACAGAACCGCAAGGUCCAGCUUUGCUCUUCUUUCCUUUUGAGAAGUGAGUCUUUUAUUCUUUCCCAGUCCUAGUCACCCAAAGUUCCUCCAAGACUUUCUCAAACUCCUGACUGCAGAAACACCAGCACUGAUUCUCUGAUGCCAAAGGAAGCCGGAUACAGGUCUCCUGAUUGAUGUGCUAAACAGACUCUUUCUAGCUGAGCUGUGACAACUGCAGAUUUGGUAGAAACAACUGUUACUUCCAUUUUAAAAAAAGUUUUGUUAAAAAUAUAAAAAGGGAGACAGGCUCCCAAUCACUUCAUGCCUUGUUAUACUGAAAUUUUUCUCUUCUCUUUAUUUUUAAAAAAGUCGCUCUCUCACAGGGCUAGAACAUGGAUCUUUUCUGCUGAAGAAAAUCUCUUUUUUCCUCAGAUGAAAUGUAGCUGUGUAUACUUGGGACAGAACACACAUUUUUGAGUAGUCAGUCAUAAUGACUUCAUGUGCCUUUCAUUUUCUUGUGGGACCUCCAGCAGGAUUUCUCAAAUCUUAGCCUGAGUCCAAAUCACCUGCAUGGCUGAUCAGAAACAGACUGCCGGACGCUGCCCUGUACGUUUCUGACUCAUCAGGUCUGUGCUGGGCCCUAGGAUGUGUAUCUGUAACAAGUCCCUAGGUGAUGUUCAUGCUGUUGGUCAGGUACCACAUUUGAGAACCAUCUACAGCUUUAGGAUUCAGAACAAAACAAAACAAAAACCAUAUACUGACCAUAAGGUAUUUCAUUAGAUACCUUAGGCAGCCCAAGGAGCUAUACCUAACUUCAAAAAUUGAACACUUUAGUAUGUUUCUUUCCUUUCCCAAAGAAUAGGCAGCCAAUAAAAUACAGAACAGUAGGUGCUAAGUGCUCAGGGAGCAGGCCUUUACAGGUUAGGGAGAGAUGACUGUAGGUACAUCAAGCAGAGAAAAGCGCCACAGGUAACUCAGGGUUUUUUCUAGUCUUUGAGAGGAAAGCAGCACUUAGAUAGCCUGGGAGGAGGCUGUGGGAACAAUGCCUCACAGCAAAGCCAUCUCUGUUGCUUUCAACAUGCAGUGUCUCUUCCCAGGGUUGGGAGGGGGCGGGUCUCGGCAUACAGCAGGGCAAGGAUGGCUCGCAUCUGCUACAAGCUUGCACACUCAGCUGUGCCCCCUCUCCAUGAUCUUUCUCAAUCAGCCAGAGGACCAGAAGAGAAACGCUCUUCCUCAUUCUCCAACCAGGCCCAAGGGCCAGACCUAGAAAUGCCACAGUGUCCCACAGGUAUCUUAUUUGUUAGUGGAGACAGUGACCCAAGGCCUCUGAAGGACAGAGAUGGAGAGGAGGCCGGAAGGCACCUGUAAGGGACAAGAGCUAUAAAGAAGGCAGAGGUUCGGGGACACGAGAAAACCAGUCAAGUUUUAAGGGAAGGGUUGGAAGUGGUUAAGCAAUGACAGGAGGAUCAUAGGAGAAUCCAUCCCCACCUUCAACCCCUCAUUACAUUUCAGGUGUUGUACUAGGUUCUAGGGAUACGGAGGUUCUUACAACAUUGUGGUGCUCACCUUUGAAAUGUUUAUGUCUAUUGAGCAAUGUACUUGAGGAUAGCAAUAUGCAAUGUAACAACCACUGUUGAUUUGUAUUAAUUUGUCUUGAG